rnacentral:tRNA from 1 species
UUCCGAUAUAGUGUAACGGCUAUCACGGUUCGCUUUCACCGAGCAGACCGGGGUUCGACUCCCCGUAUCGGAGGC